CAACCAAACAAAAGGCCUGAGCCCAGCAGUGCAUGAAGGAGUGAAUGGGUGAGAACCUCCAUGGUGACGUCUCACCAGACAGAUGGCAACAGUUGCCAGCCUCCUUUCAUGAAUUCCCAGUCAUAAAGAACAGCCCCUAUCCCUCCAGAGCCCAUCAGCUCCUCAGAGCCAGCCCAAAGAUACAAAAAUAAGGUUAAAUGGAAAAUCCAAGGCCUUGGGGACAGGUGGAGAACAGUCGGAUCUGGUCCUCGCCAUUAAAUAAUCAGGACUUAAAAGGGCAAAGAGAAAGCUGAAAUUCCACCCAAAGAAAAGGUCUUUCAAGUUGUCCUGUGCAGCUGGCCCUCUGCUUGGCUCCAGAUACAGCCCCUGGGCACCAAGGCCAGCGUGGAUCUGCUCCAAUCCUCCCAUUCCGUUAACACGGUGAUCUUGACAACUGCUGAGAAUGAGCUGCUGAGUUGUUCAAAUGCACCAUCACGGCCACCCCAUCUCCCUACUCAUCGAUAAAGGGAUCAUUCCCCUCCAGUGCCAGCUUUCCUAGAAUGAGGACAAGAACACCCAUAAAGCAAAGACUGCUCAGUGGGUUUUGCCUCUGCCCCUCUCUUCCCUCCAGUGGUCUCCUCCCUCUCAGAGUCAGACCCUCUUUGGAUCAUGUAAGUUGAAAACCAUGGCAUGAAGAUAGAAUCCUUAACCAAGGCAGCAGCCUGUGUCACGUGAAAAUCUAUUCCAAAGAAAAGUCUUCGUUUAUUUCUAAACUUAUCUAAGAUCUGCAUCCAUCUCUGCCUGCUUAUUGCUCAUUACUUCAAGUGGUUGUGGUUCCAGGGGGAGCAGACUUGACUGAGGAGAAUCUAAGCGAAGCCCUACCAUCAGCGUCUGCUCAAGAACACUUUUGCUGGUGUGUAGACUGUGUGCUGGGAACUGUGUGUGUGCAUGCCGGGGUGACAACCCACCAGGCCCCUCACCUUCUUUUAGGAAAUUCCCAGAAUGGGUAAUUUCCUUUCUGGGUCUGGAGGGGCCAGAUUGGAAGGGGGCCAUGAGGAGAAGUCACUUGCCCCACAGCCACCUGUGGGGACACCACAGUUUCCUCAACUCAUAGCUUUGCAUUCAACGGCCAGCGUGCUCAGACUGUGGAGUGCCAAGCCAUGUACAACACACAGGAGUGUAAGGAGAAAUAGAGGGCAGUGAUUCUUCCUACGGAGGCAAGUAUGGUCACAGUUGGAGAGAGGACAUGAGCUUGCAAAGCCUCCAGACAUCAAAAAUGAUACAUGAAGAUGUGCUGACUGUAUCGGUAACAAAAAUGUAAACAGUAAUAAAAGAUGUGUACACA